rnacentral:lncRNA from 10 species
UGUUAUCAGACUGUAUAGAGGUGGGAAUGCUAAACUGAGGAAUUAUGUCUGACAGAAGGGAAGAAAUGACUGCGGAGUAGUAGAAUAGCAGAUGGAACACUGAGAAGUUAUUUACUUGAGGAUAGAUUUCCACAAUGGAAAGAAAAUGAGAGGUUCUAAGAGGCGGGCUAGUGGCUUGUACUAUAGCAUAGCCUGCUUUGCUGGUGUGUG